AAUGAUAGUUACAUAGUGUAACUCCAGAUUCUGUGAGUAUAGGCAUAGCCCUAGUAGAGCUGUUGCAAUUGGGUUAUCCAUUCGUG